UCAUCUGGGAGAUGCUGAAGGAAGAAUCCCUCCUCCACUGUGUUCUGAGUGCUACAAUUGGCUGUCUAACUGCCCCCCAAGGACAAUGUUCUGGGUGUCCCACAGGGACCUAGAGAGAGGAUUGGAUGUGGCCCCAAGACUUCUGUCCCUCAAGCCUCCGGAGUGUCCGAGUGCUAGGAAUCUGAAGCCUAGUGUUAGCAUCUCCAGAGGUGGUGUCCUAGGCCAGUCUUCCUGUGGACUUUUCUCUCUCUAAAAUGGGCCUUAAAUAUUCUAUCUGAAUUGCUGCGUGGGAAUUCUAGAGUGAGGACACCCAGGGUUCACAUCUUUGGUUUGCUUCUACCUGCACAACAUAUUUUAUUGUUGUUUGUCAGUGUGACAUAAGCUAAGGUUAUCCGGGAAGAAGUCCCUAAAUUAAAAAAA